rnacentral:rRNA from 1 species
GACGACGCUGGCGGCGUGCCUAAUACAUGCAAGUCGAACGAGUGGCGGACGGGUGAGUAAAACGUGGGAACCUACCCAUCAGAGGGGGAUAACUACUGGAAACGGUAGCUAAUACCGCAUACCAUCGGAUGUGCCCAGAUGGGAUUAGCUAGUAGGUGGGGUAAAGGCUCACCUAGGCGACGAUACCUAGCUGGGUUGAGAGGAUGACCAGCCACACUGGAACUUAGACACGGUCCAGACUCCUACGGGAGGCAGCAGUGGGGAAUAUUGCACAAGGGGCGCAAGCCUGAUGCAGCCAUGCCGCGUGUAUGAAGAAGGCCUUCGGGUUGUAAAGUACUUUCAGCGGGGAGGCGUUACCCGCAGAAGAAGCACCGGCUAACUCCGUGCCAGCAGCCGCGGUAAUUC